GGAGGUUGGUGGUGGACGAGCCACUCGCCAACCGGGUCAGGUCCGGAAGGAAGCAGCCCUAACGAGAUCCGGCACGGGUCAUCGUGCCAGCCUCCUAC
rnacentral:SRP_RNA from 1 species